GACCGUGCAAAGGUAGCAUAAUCAUUUGCCUUAUAAUUGAAGGCUUGUAUGAAUGGUUUGACAAGAAUAAAGCUGUCUCUUUACAAAUAAAUAUAAUUUUAUUUACAGGUGAAGAAGCCUGUAUUAUAUUGAAAGACAAGAAGACCCUAUCGAGCUUUAAAUGAGUUAGUAUAAAGUAAAUCAUAUUUAUAUUGAGCUAGUUACUAAAAAUUUUAGUUGGGGCGACUAAGGAACAACUAAAGCUUCCUAAAAGUUUUAAGCGCUUUCGAGCUAUGAUCCAAAAAUUUUGAUUAAAGGAAUUAGUUACCGUAGGGAUAACAGCAUUAUCUUUUUUAAGAGUUCAAAUCGAAAAAAAGGUUUGUGACCUCGAUGUUGGACCAGAAUAUCCUGAAGAUGCAGCCGUCUUCAAGGGUUGGUCUGUUCGACCAUUAAAAUUCUACGUGAUCUGAGUUCAGACCGGCGUGAGCCAGGUCAGUUUCUAUCUUCUAUUUUUGACGUGGACCUAGUACGAAAGGAUUGGUCUAUAGUAAUAGUUAUUAUCCUUGAUGUAGUAUAAAGAUUCAUUAAAUUAUCAAGUAUAAAGAUCAAAUUAGCAAAGAUAAUGCAAUUGAUUUAGGAUCAAUAGACAUAGGUGAAACUCCUUUAUUUGAUAUAAAUAUAAAGGUG
rnacentral:rRNA from 1 species